rnacentral:rRNA from 1 species
UACGAAGGGGGCUAGCGUUGCUCGGAAUCACUGGGCGUAAAGCGCACGUAGGCGGACUCUUAAGUCGGUGGUGAAAUCCUGGAGCUCAACUCCAGAACUGCCUUCGAUACUGGGAGUCUCGAGUUCGGGAGAGGUGAGUGGAAUUCCCAGUGUAGAGGUGAAAUUCGUAGAUAUUGGGAAGAACACCAGUGGCGAAGGCGGCUCUCUGGUCCGAUACUGACGCUGAGGUGCGAAAGCGUGGGGAGCAAACAGGAUUAGAUACCCUUGUAGU